GAUGAACGCUGGCGGCGUGCCUAAUACAUGCAAGUCGCGCGAAGCGGGGACGGGUGAGUAACACGUGGAUAACCUCCUAUAAGACUGGGAUAACUUCGGGAAACCGGAGCUAAACCGGAUACUUAACGAUAGAUCCGCGAUGCAUUAGCUAGUUGGUAAGGUAACGGCUUACCAGGGCAACGAUGCAUAGCCGACCUGAGAGGGUGAUCGGCCACACUGGAACUGAGACACGGGCCAGACUCCUACGGUAGGCAGCAGUAGGUAAUCUUCCGCAAUGGGAGAAAGCCUGACGGAGCAACGACGCGUGAGUGAUGAAGGUCUUCGGAUCGUAAAACUCUGUUAUUAGGGAAGCGGUACCUACUCAGAAAGCCACGGCUAACUACGUGCCAGCCGCAGCGGUAAUUC
rnacentral:rRNA from 1 species